CCCCGGCGUAAAGAGUGGUUAAGCUACAAUUUAUAUAAAGCCGAACAUCCUCACGGCUGUUAUACGCACCCGAAGAUAAGAAGACCAGCCACGAAGGUAGCUUUAUUUAACUGAACCCACGAAAGCUGCGGCACAAACUGGGAUUAGAUACCCCACUAUGCCCAGCCCUAAACAUUGAUAGUAUUCUACACCCGCUAUCCGCCAGGGAACUACGAGCAUCAGCUUAAAACCCAAAGGACUUGGCGGUGCUUUAGACCCACCUAGAGGAGCCUGUUCUAGAACCGAUAACGCCCGUUCAACCUCACCUUUUCUUGUUUACCCCGCCUAUAUACCGCCGUCGUCAGCUUACCCUGUGAAGGUUUAAUAGUAAGCAAACUGGCUU
rnacentral:rRNA from 1 species